GACGAACGCUGGCGGCGUGCUUAACACAUGCAAGUCGAGCGGUAAGGCCCUUCGGGUACACGAGCGGCGAACGGGUGAGUAACACGUGGGUGACCUGCCCUUAGCUCUGGGAUAAGCCUGGGAAACUGGGUCUAAUACCGGAUAUGACCUCAUGACGCAUGUUGUGGGGUGGAAAGCCUUGUGCGGCUAGGGAUGGGCCCGCGGCCUAUCAGCUUGUUGGUGGGGUGAUGGCCACCAAGGCGACGACGGGUAGCCGGCCUGAGAGGGCGACCGGCCACACUGGGGACUGAGACACGGCCCAGACUCCUACGGGAGGCAGCAGUGGGGAAUCUUGCGCAAUGGGCGAAAGCCUGACGCAGCGACGCCGCGUGAGGGAU
rnacentral:rRNA from 1 species